UACGUAGGGUGCGAGCGUUGUCCGGAUUUAUUGGGCGUAAAGAGCUCGUAGGCGGUUUGUUGCGUCGGCUGUGAAAUCCCGAGGCUCAACCUCGGGUCUGCAGUCGAUACGAGCAAACUAGAGUAGCUGCAGGGGAGACUGGAAUUCCUGGUGUACGGCGGUGAAAUGCGCAGAUAUCAGGAGGAACACCGGUGGCGAAGGCGGGUCUCUGGGCAGUAACUGACGCUGAGGAGCGAAAGCGUGGGGAGCAAACAGG
rnacentral:rRNA from 1 species